UUCUCUGUAGCUUGAACGGUAAAGAAUCUACCUGCAGUGCAGGAGACCCGGGUUCAAUCCCUGGCUUGGAAA
rnacentral:tRNA from 1 species